rnacentral:rRNA from 1 species
UUGACCUCGGAUCAGGUAGGAAUACCCGCUGAACUUAAGCAUAUCAAUAAGCCGGAGGAAAAGAAACCNACAGGGAUUGCCCCAGUAACGGCGAGUGAAGCGGCAACAGCUCAAAUUUGAAAUCUGGCCCUAGGCCCGAGUUGUAAUUUGCAGAGGAUGCUUUUGGCGCGGUGCCUUCCGAGUUCCCUGGAACGGGACGCCAUAGAGGGUGAGAGCCCCGUACGGUUGGACACCAAGCCUUUGUAAAGCUCCUUCGACGAGUCGAGUAGUUUGGGAAUGCUGCUCAAAAUGGGAGGUAUAUUUCUUCUAAAGCUAAAUAUAGGCCAGAGACCGAUAGCGCACAAGUAGAGUGAUCGAAAGAUGAAAAGCACUUUGAAAAGAGGGUUAAACAGCACGUGAAAUUGUUAAAAGGGAAGCGCUUGUGACCAGACUUGCGUCCGGUGAAUCACCCAGCUCUCGCGGCUGGGGCACUUCGCCGGCACAGGCCAGCAUCAGCUUGCCGUCGGGGACAAAAGCUUCAGGAACGUAGCUCUCUUCGGGGAGUGUUAUAGCCUGUUGCAUAAUACCCUUCGGCGGGCUGAGGUACGCGCUCCGCAAGGAUGCUGGCGUAAUGGUCAUCAGCG